rnacentral:rRNA from 1 species
AUAGCGUCGCUCCCAUCACAAUAUUAUGCAUGGGAUGCGGAUAUUGGCCCCCCGUACCAUUAUAGGUGUGGUCGGCCAAAAACUUAGCCCUAGGUGACGAGCGUCACGAUCAGUGGUGGUUGAAAAACCCCUUCGUCUUAGACCGGCAGUCGUGUAGCCUUGUUAUCUUUAUGGCAUAUGGACCCUUGUCUGUCGUGAGCACGACAUUCACCAU